AGCGUAAAGCUACUUUUAUAAAGUUCUAAGAAUCCUUUGUGGCCACGGUCGUCUACUAAUACUUAAAAACAUAGUUCUCCUUCGUAACAUAGGAGUUCGGGACCUCUCUAACUAGAAAGAAACUUUUCAUAUGUAAAGCGUUCCGAUUCUGAACCUGGAUUCAUGGCCAUCUGCAGAAGAUCUGGGUCUUGAUGACUUUCAGUACAGAGCUCUUCAAAUGGCGCUCACCAAAGAGUUUGCGAUCAUUCAAGGUCCACCGGGUACUGGAAAGACAUUCAUUGGGUUGAAGAUCACCAAAGUUUUGUUGCACAACAAUAGCAAGUGGGACUCAGAUGAAGUGAGAUCUUGGUACUGGUCUCUACAGUCUUUGACUCAUCACCCAACUCUAGUACACAAACCACGCGCUUGACCAGUUUCUAGAGGGAAUCCAUCAGUUUCAUCCAAAGGGAAUUGUGCGGAUUGGAGGUCGGAGUCAAAAUGAGACCCUGAAGCCGUGCAGUCCGUCGGAGUUGAAACAAAAAAUAAGCAAAUCAUACUCGAUGAGGAGAAAAAAGUUCCUCAACAUAUCAGAAAAAGGUUACACGAAGCUCAUACGAUAAUGGAAGACACUGAGUCGAUAUCGAAAUGGGCAGCAGAUGGUUUAAAGAAAUGCCGUAAAAAUAUUCUCAGUGAGGACGUGCUGCAAUAUCGCGCCGAAAGCAUGACAGAAGCGCACUACCUUUUCUUUGAAGGAAAAUACUCUGAUUAGUGAUGGUCACGAACACAAUGCAAUGUUACGUUGGACAAACCUGUCUUUAAACUCGGUGAAUUUCAGUCAAGGGGAUGUGUGCAAAAUGGAUGGAGGAGUAGACGCAUACGCGGAAACAAAGGAAAAAGAAAAAGAAGAGAGAGAAAACCCUGAGAACCAGGAUGUGUUGUACGAAGCGAAAGUCAUGGAGAAACAAAGAGUACUGGAUGAUGAGGAGAUAACGGUGUAAAAUUCAAAGCCAACGAGAAGAAACGAAGAUCUUACAGUUGUGAAUCCUUUCACUCGUAUCGAGGAAGGUGAAAAUGAGUGGCAAACACAGGAUGCACAUCGACUGAAAAGGAAAUUGAAGAGGACCAUAAAUUUAGAACUAAAUAAGAAAGAUGUCAUGCCAAAUGAUGAAACAAAAAUGGUGAAUGGUCGAAAUGUUAAUGCCACUUUUAAUGAGUAACGUGACUACGUUUGGUAAUUUAGGGUUUUCCUUCUCCGAAGCAACCACAAGUAACAUCCAUAACAUCGUUCUUCUAAGGAUCUGCCGUUGGCCUCUUACAGGUUGACUUAAGGACAGUGCCUGCUAUUGCCACUGCACACAUGAGAUGCGCAUCACGCCAAGGUCGUGCGCGCUCGCGCGUGGGUGGAAAAACUCGUCUCCCGCAAUGAUCACGCGAAAGACCAACCGCAAGGAAAGGAAUAUUUACCCCUAUGAUUUACGGGUCGAAUCAGUUUAAUCAUGCAGCCUUUGGUUAAAACCGAAUAAGAAAAUUUAGUUUACAAUUUGCUCCCACGAAAAAAAAAGGGGAAAAUAAGACAAGUCUUUACCCAUUGACUCCUAAGUGUUCCGCGUGCCUAACGGGAAAAGAAAAAAAAGGCGCAUAGAAUUGUUCUAUUGCCACUGCACACAUGAGAUGCGCAUCACGCCAAGGUCGUGCGCGCUCGCGCGUGGGUGGAAAAACUUGUCUCCCGCAAUGAUCACGCGAAAGACCAACCCCAAGGAAAGGGAUAUUUACUCCUAUGAUUUACAGGUCGAAUCGGUUUAAUCAUGCAGCCUUUGGUUAAAACUAAAUAAGAAAAUUUAGUUUACAAUUUGUUCCCACGAAAAAAAAAGGGGAAAAUAAGACAAGUCUUUUACCCAUUGACUCCUAAGUGUUCCGCGUGCCUAACGGGAAAAGAAAAAAAAGGCGCACUGAAUUGUUCUGAAAUCAUCUCUUCCGAAAAAACAAGCUCCGAUGAAAGUACAGUAGACUAUUCAAAUAACUAAGUUUCAAAUAAAUAAAACGAUAAAUGCAUAUCAA